rnacentral:rRNA from 1 species
AAUAUUGCGCAAUGGAGGAAACUCUGACGCAGCGACGCCGCGUGAGCGAUGAAGGUCNNNGGAUCNUAAAGCUCUGUCCUUGGNGAANAAGGACGUCAUUUAUGACGCCUUGACGGUACCCGAGGAGGAAGCCCCGGCUAACUACGUGCCAGCAGCCGCGGUAAUACGUAGGGGGCAAGCGUUGUCCGGAAUUAUUGGGCGUAAAGGGUGCGUAGGCGGCCUUUUAAGUCAGAUGUGAAAGACCACGGCUUAACCGUGGGGUUGCAUUUGAAACUGGAGGGCUUGAGUAUCGGAGAGGGUAGUGGAAUUCCCAGUGUAGCGGUGAAAUGCGUAGAUAUUGGGAGGAACACCAGUGGCGAAGGCGACUACCUGGACGAUAACUGACGCUGAGGCACGAAAGCUAGGGGAGCAAACA